CGUCUCCUCCUGUUGCUGCUUUUCUUCAUCAUUAUCUCAGAGGAAAGGAGGGUCUACAGAGGAUGUUCAUGAAUAUCAGUAAUUGAGCCAUUACAUUAUCCCCAAGUGAUCUUAGAACCCUGCUUUCAACUUGGGUGGAGGGAUCCAGGUUGCUGCCUCACUCGCAAAGUCCACUCUGAGAGGGAUCUUGGAAAUUAGAAGUCAUCAAGUCUUUCUAAAGGGAGUUCCCACUUCAGAAAAAAAAGAAAAUUAUAUGCCUGAAUAAUUUAGUGGGUCAAUUUAUUGUUGUUUAUGUCUGCACUGGACCUAGAAGA